rnacentral:tRNA from 1 species
GCUGGAAUAGCUCAGGGGUAGAGCAACGUACUCGUAAUACGUAGGUCGGAGGUUCAAAUCCUCUUUCCAGCACCA